GAUGAACGCUAGCUACAGGCUUAACACAUGCAAGUCGCGGGGCAGCAUGGGGGUUGCUUGCAACCCCCGAUGGCGACCGGCGCACGGGUGAGUAACGCGUAUCCAACCUGCCCUUCACCACGGGAUAACCCGGCGAAAGUCGGACUAAUACCGUAUGUUGUCCAUUGACGGCAUCCGAUUUGGACGAAAGGCUUUGCGGUGAGGGAUGGGGAUGCGUCCGAUUAGCUUGACGGCGGGGUAACGGCCCACCGUGGCGACGAUCGGUAGGGGUUCUGAGAGGAAGGUCCCCCACACUGGAACUGAGACACGGUCCAGACUCCUACGGGAGGCAGCAGUGAGGAAUAUUGGUCAAUGGGCGGAAGCCUGAACCAGCCAAGUAGCGUGCAGGAUGACGGCCCUAUGGGUUGUAAACUGCUUUUAUGCGGGGAUAAAGGAGCCCACGUGUGGGUUUUUGCAGGUACCGCA
rnacentral:rRNA from 1 species